rnacentral:misc_RNA from 1 species
GGAAAUUUGGUCGAAAGUUUAAGUUGAAUCGUUGGUUGAAACUUUGUUAACAUUUUAGCAUAAGAAUAGUCCAGUUCUUCAGCUUUCCUUACGCACUUCGGAAGAGUUGAUCGAUCCAUCGGCUUCCUUCCCUCGCUUGGGUGUUCGAGUUGUCAUUCGUGGCAGAAGCAGUUCGCACCUGCUCGUAUCGUCUCAAUUCGCUGCUCGUCGACAGGUAAUCCCCUACUUCGCAUAAACUUUCU